rnacentral:lncRNA from 1 species
AAUUAUUGACUAGGAUUGGCCACACUGUACCAGGAACUUCACUUCAGCUUCUGAGAGGCAACGAAGAGCAGCAGCAAUAGCCUAUGCUAAUUCGGGAAUCUCUUGGAUUUCAUUGACCAACAACUCAAAAGAAGGUUUACAUACCCGGUUAUUUCUUGAAUUGAUUGGGAGGUAGAAUUACAAGAGAUGCCCUGUGAAGCUCAAGGAUGCGCCUAUGAAGGCUGAUCUAUUGAUGAAGUGAGAACUCUUCAAUGA